rnacentral:rRNA from 1 species
CCUACGGGAGGCAGCAGUAGGGAAUUUUCGUCAAUGGGCGCAAGCCUGAACGAGCAAUGCCGCGUGAACGAGGAAGGUCUUCGGAUCGUAAAGUUCUGUUGAAGGGGAAAAAGAGCGGAGAGAGGAAAUGGUCUCCGAUUGAUAUUACCCUUCGAGGAAGUCACGGCUAACUACGUGCCAGCAGCCGCGGUAAUACGUAGGUGGCGAGCGUUAUCCGGAAUGAUUGGGCGAAAAGGGUGCGUAGGCGGCCUGCUAAGUCUGGAGUGAAAGGUACCGGCUCCACCGGUACAGGCUCUGGAAACUGGCGGGCUAGAGAGCAGGAGAGGGCGGUGGAACUCCAUGUGUAGCGGUAAAAUGCGUAGAUAUAUGGAAGAACACCAGUGGCGAAGGCGGCCGCCUGGCCUGUUACUGACGCUGAGGCACGAAAGCGUGGGGAGCAAAUAGGAUUAGAUACCCGAGUAGUC